CCUGGUUUUGAGAGGUUGGCCAGCGUUACAAAGUGUUCCUUCAGAAAGGCUUCCUGGUCUGGAGUCUGGGGAACCAGUUGAGAGGUCAUGACAUCUGGUCCUCCUCCUGCUGCGCCUCCUCCGUCCUCGUCCUCCUCCAGCUCAGAGGAGUUUCCAUCCACACUGAGAGGCUCUGAGUCUACGAGGACGGAGACAGGUUAGGGGUGAGAGACAGACAAGAGAGGUCUGUCUGCCUCGCUUCAUCUGUCUGUCUCACCGUUUCCUGCAGGUUUGUCUCUCUGUAUCUGUCCAUGUCCUGCAGGUUUGUCUCUCUGUAUCUGUCUAUGUCCUGCAGGUUUGUCUCUCUGUAUCUGUCUAUGUCCUGCAGGUGUGUCUCUCCGUAUCUGUCUAUGUCCUGCAGUUUUGUCUCUCUGUAUCUGUCUUUGUCUCUCUGUAUCUGUCCAUGUCCUGCAGGUUUGUCUCUCUGUAUCUGUCCAUGUCCUGCAGGUUUGUCUCUCUGUAUCUGUCUAUGUCCUGCAGGUGUGUCUCUCCGUAUCUGUCUAUGUCCUGCAGGUUUGUCUCUCUGUAUCUGUCUUUGUCUCUCUGUAUCUGUCCAUGUCCUGCAGGUUUGUCUCUCUGUAUCUGUCUAUGUCCUGCAGGUGUGUCUCUCCGUAUCUGUCUAUGUCCUGCAGUUUUGUCUCUCUGUAUCUGUCUUUGUCUCUCUGUAUCUGUCCAUGUCCUGCAGGUUUGUCUCUCUGUAUCUGUCUAUGUCCUGCAGCUGUGUCUCUCCUUAUCUGUCUGUCUCCCGGUGUCGGUCUCACCAUCUCCUGCAGGUCUCACUGGACUGGACAGCCUGGAGCUGAAUCCCAGUGAGCAGCCGCUGUCUGGACUGGGUUUGUCCUGAUGUUUGUCUGCAGCAGUAGGACACGCCUCCUUCACCUGGAACUCACUGACAGGAAGGGGCAGCGUUUAGAGGGGCGGCGUUCCAACAUCCUACAAGCAGAAUUUAUUCACCUGGGACAAACUACUUCCUAAAAUGGGACAUUGAACUCUGACCCUGUUUAUCAUAUUCAAUUAAUUGUCCUUAAAUCCUUUUGUAAGGAGACGGUGUAAAUAUAAACGACCUGAUGACCUGCUUGUGUUUCAAUCUCUUCUCUCCUCUUUUUCUGCUUCUGUCUCUGCUGCCAAAAGCUCUUUCUACCGAUCCAGAAUCCAAUCUUCAUUUUCUAACCCAAAAAAACUAUUUUCGAUAUUCUCCAACCUCCUCCAACCCCCUAGUCCUCCUCCCCCCUUCUUCUGGGUGACUGUCACUACUUUACCAAGAAAAUAGCUGACAUACGCUCCUCUUUCUCAAACCCACCUCCUAUUUCUUGCUUCCCACUGGCUUCACCUCUAUCGCCCUCACUUUCCUCUUUCACCCCCCUGUCUCCUAACCAAGUUCUUACCCUAGUAACCUCUGACCCUCCGACCACCUGCCCUCUUGACCCCAUUCCAUCACAUCUUCAACGGACGCACCUAUCGGGUAACCUGGAGAGGAUCUGUGUUGAACCUUGUCCUCUUACUACUGGAGUUCCUCAGGGUUCCGUCCUGGGUCCCCUCCUCUUCUCUCUCUACACCAACUCUCUCAUUCGCUCACUUGGCUUCUCCUACCACAGCGAUGCUGAUGACACCCAACUAAUUCUCUCCUUCCCUCACUCGGAUCUCUGCCUGUCUGACUGACAUCUCUCAGUGGAUCCGCCCACCAUCUGAAAAUCAACCCCGACAAGAUGGAACUACUUCUCUUUCCAGGAAAAGAUUCUCCUUCACAGGACCUGACUGUUAACUUUGGCGACUCCGUGUUAACGUCCACUUUGACUGCAGGAACCUCGGCGUGACGUCGACAGCCGACUCUCCCUGACUCCAACAUCACUGACAACACCCUGUAGAUACUCGCUCUACAACAUGAGGAGAACACGUCCUCUUCUCACUCAGAAGGUACUGAUUCAGGCUCUUGUCGUCUCCCUCCUGGACCACUGUAACUCUCUCCUGCAGGUCUCCUGCUACCUCCAUUCCACCUCUGCAGCUCAUCCAGAAUGCAGCAGCUCCACUGGUCUUUAACCUUCCUAAGUUC
ensembl:lncRNA